GUCUACAACAUGGGCCGGCAUCUCUUUGGGCCAACUCCGCGAUUGUACACCGAGCUCUUCCCUUCUUUUUUACCCCGAAUAAAAAAAAAGCUAUUCCCUUUAUUUUGCUCCUGCUAUGGAUUCGCGUCUUCCCCCUCCGCCGCCGUAGCCGCUCUUCCAAUCUCGCAUUGGCUGCAUUUAGGUCGCGCUACCCCGCGCGGAGUCUAGGUGCAGUUCGGGGUCGGUGAGCGAUGGAGGCGGCGGCCACCGUGAGACGAGGAGCACGACGUUCACGCAUCAGCGCAUCUCCGACGCUCCCCACGCCAGAGACGAGUGCAGAAGUGGCGGGAUGAGGCGCCGACGCCGUCCGGAUGCGCUACGGGUGAUGUGGCGGCGACCGUCGGGGUAACUCAAACGCAGGAGACCGUCGUGUCCCAAACUGAACUCGCAGACCCUGGAAAAAGUGCCUGCUCCCUUAUGGAGGAAGCAAAGAUGGUGGAAGCUCCCCAGCUCAGCUGGCAACGAAGAAAUGAAGGACCACACUUCUGCUGGGGCCGAUCACCACCGUGGCAACACGCGGUGCUGUUAUGCUCAGAUUUACCUCUGCCUUUGGCUGUUGGGUUUGUUGUUUCUGCCUAUGCAUGUGGCUGGUUUUAUUUUGAUGGAUGUAAGAGUGGACUUGGAUGUUGUUUCGUUUCUAUGAAAGCGAACAGGGCGAAAGGCCUUUCGAUCUGCAAAA